AAGUCGUAACAAGGUUUCCGUAGGUGAACCUGCGGAAGGAUCAUUAACACGUAUCCAACGUUAAACCCCCUGUGAACCUUCAUUGUACGAGUUACAUCCACGUCAUAAACCGGCAAUCUCUGGUAAAAUCAUCGCCGAACAGUUUUGAUUCAGAGACCUCUGGGCCUCUGCUUGUUAGUGUCUGAAAGUGUCACUAGCUAUGUACGGAUGGCGCAGUAACGAUCGCUGGAGUCCGACACGGCCGGCGACCAGGUCACUGGGCUACGGCCCCCCUGAUCACAACCUUUGCAUGAAAACGGGCCUGCGCUGAGGUGCGGCCACCCCUAAUGCUUGAACAACUGUUAACAAUGGAUAUCUUGGUUCUC
rnacentral:misc_RNA from 1 species